GGAUGUGAGGGCGAUCUGGCUGCAACAUCUGUCACCCCAUUGAUUGCCAGGGUUGAUUUGGCUGAUCUAGCUGGCUAGGCGGGUGUCUCCUCCUGCCCUCACCGCUCCAUGUGCCUCCCUCCGGAAAGCUGCGCGCUGUGGAAGAGGACGACCAUCCCCGACAGAAGAGGGCGGGUCUUCCGUCAAGGGUAUAUGAGUAGCUGCGCUCCCUGCUAGAACCUCCAAGCAAGCUCUCAGGAGAGCAAGCAACAACGGAGAAGGUAAGAAACUUUCCCAAGGACAGUGGACACCUUGGGUUUGCUCUGGGCAGUCU
rfam:Nomascus leucogenys chromosome 17, whole genome shotgun sequence.